rnacentral:rRNA from 1 species
CCCUUAGAUGUCCGGGGCUGCACGCGCGCUACACUGAAGGAAUCAGCGUGCUAAAACCAUUGUCGAAAGGCAUUGGUAAACCCAUUAAAAUCCUACGUGAUUGGGAUCGGGAAUUGCAAUUAUUUCCCUUGAACGAGGAAUUCCCAGUAAGUGUGGGUCAUAAGCUCGCGUUGAUUACGUCCCUGCCCUUUGUACACACCGCCCGUCGCUGCCCGGGACUGAGCCGUUUCGAGAAAAGCGGGGACUGCUGCUGUCGGGGCUUUCGGGCCUUGGCUUCGGUGGAAACCGCUUUAAUCGCAGUGGCUUGAACCGGGCAAAGGUCGUAACA